rnacentral:rRNA from 1 species
AACGAACGCUGGCGGCAUGCCUAACACAUGCAAGUCGAACGAGACCUUCGGGUCUAGUGGCGCACGGGUGCGUAACGCGUGGGAACCUGCCCUUAGGUUCGGAAUAACUCCCCGAAAGGGGUGCUAAUACCGGAUAAUGUCUUCGGACCAAAGAUUUAUCGCCUUUGGAUGGGCCCGCGUUGGAUUAGCUAGUUGGUAGGGUAAAAGCCUACCAAGGCGACGAUCCAUAGCUGGUCUGAGAGGAUGAUCAGCCACACUGGGACUGAGACACGGCCCAGACUCCUACGGGAGGCAGCAGUGGGGAAUAUUGGACAAUGGGCGAUAGCCUGAUCCAGCAAUGCCGCGUGAGUGAUGAAGGCCUUAGGGUUGUAAAGCUCUUUUACCCGGGAUGAUAAUGACAGUACCGGGAGAAUAAGCUCCGGCUAACUCCGCG